rnacentral:rRNA from 1 species
AUUGAACGCUGGCGGCAUGCUUUACACAUGCAAGUCGAACGGCAGCGCGGGCUUCGGCCUGGCGGCGAGUGGCGAACGGGUGAGUAAUGCAUCGGAACGUGCCCAGUAGUGGGGGAUAGCCCGGCGAAAGCCGGAUUAAUACCGCAUACGACCUGAGGGUGAAAGCGGGGGACCGAAAGGCCUCGCGCUAUUUGAUCGGCCGAGGUCGGAUUAGCUAGUUGGUUGGGUAAAGGCUUACCAAAGCGACUAUCCGUAGCUGGUCUGAGAGGACGACCGGCCACACUGGGACUGAGACACGGCCCAGACUCCUACGGGAGGCAGCAGUGGGGAAUUUUGGACAAUGGGGGCAACCCUGAUCCAGCCAUGCCGCGUGCGGGAAGAAGGCCUUCGGGUUGUAAACCGCUUUUGUUCGGGAAGAAAUCCUCUGGGCUAAUACCCCGGGGGGAUGACGGUACCGGAAGAAUAAGCACCGGCUAACUACGUG